rnacentral:tRNA from 1 species
UAUUAAGGUGGCAGAAUAGUGCAUUAGGUUUAAGCCCUAAAUAUAAAGAUUAAAAUUCUUUCUUUAAUAA